UGGGGAAUAUUGCACAAUGGGCGAAAGCCUGAUGCAGCGACGCCGCGUGAGGGAUGACGGCCUUCGGGUUGUAAACCUCUUUCAGUAGGGACGAAGCGCAAGUGACGGUACCUGCAGAAGAAGCACCGGCUAACUACGUGCCAGCAGCCGCGGUAAUACGUAGGGUGCGAGCGUUGUCCGGAAUUACUGGGCGUAAAGAGCUCGUAGGCGGAUUGUCACGUCGUCUGUGAAAUCCUAGGGCUUAACCCUGGACGUGCAGGCGAUACGGGCUGACUUGAGUACUACAAGGGAGACUGGAAUUUCUGGUGUAGCGGUGGAAUGCACAGAUAUCAGGAAGAACACCGAUGGCGAAGGCAGGUCUCUGGGUAGUAACUGACGCUGAGGAGCGAAAGCAUGGGUAGCGAACAGG
rnacentral:rRNA from 1 species